rnacentral:misc_RNA from 1 species
UCCGGUUUGCCACCGGCGGUCUCCUUAGAGUUCCCACCAUUACGUGCUGGCAACUAAGGACAAGGGUUGCGCUCGUUGCGGGACUUAACCCAACAUCUCACGACACGAGCUGACGACAGCCAUGCACCACCUGUACACCUGCCCCGAAGGGCUGCCGUAUUUCUACGACAUUCAGGUGCAUGUCAAGCCCAGGUAAGGUUCUUCGCGUUGCAUCGAAUUAAGCCACAUGCUCCGCCGCUUGUGCGGGCCCCCGUCAAUUCCUUUGAGUUUCAGCCUUGCGGCCGUACUCCCCAGGCGGGGUACUUACUGCGUUAGCGACGGCACCGGAGGGGUCGCUCCCCCCGACGCCUAGUACCCAUCGUUUACGGCGUGGACUA